GGUGGGGAAAGCUUAUAGACAAAUCACAGGCACAAGAGAGGUUACCUCUCAACCAGUUAUAGGAUGGAUUUGGAAAUCCAGAUGUCAAAUAAAACACAAAGUGUUCUUCUGGCUUCUUGUUGAGGACCGAUUAAGCACUAAAGACAUCCUCGGAAGGAAGAACAUGUACCUGGACUCUUACACCUAUGAAAUGUGCAUCCUACAAAAAAGAGAAACGAUAGCUCACUUGUUCCUAUGAUGCAACUUCGCGAAAGCUUGCUGGGCGUCUAUUGGUGUUCCUGUAAUCGCCACAAGACCAACCUUCAGAUCCUAGUCACGAUCAAGCAAACGCUGGCAGUCCCUUUUCUCAUGGAGAUUAUCAUUCUCAUGUCUCCAAGCAUCUGGGCUUCAAGGAAUAACUGGACAUUUAACAAUAUUCCGCCUUCGGUUGAUGACUGCAAGCGGAUGUUUAUUGAAGAUCUUUCCUUGCUUGCCUCCCAC
rnacentral:lncRNA from 1 species